rnacentral:rRNA from 1 species
CACGUAGGGUGCAAGCGUUGUCCGGACUUAUUGGGCGUAAAGGGCUCGUAGGCGGUCCGUCACGUCGGGAGUGAAAACUCGGGGCUCAACCCCGAGCCUGCUUUCGAUACGGGCGGACUAGAGGUAGGUAGGGGAGAACGGAAUUCCUGGUGUAGCGGUGGAAUGCGCAGAUAUCAGGAGGAACACCGGUGGCGAAGGCGGUUCUCUGGGCCUUACCUGACGCUGAGGAGCGAAAGCGUGGGGAGCGAACAGG